UACGUAGGAGGCAAGCGUUGUCCGGAAUUAUUGGGCGUAAAGAGCGUGUAGGCGGUCCGGUAAGUCAGCUGUGAAAGUCAAGGGCUCAACCCUUGAAAGCCGGUUGAUACUGUCGGGCUAGAGUCCGGAAGAGGCGAGUGGAAUUCCCGGUGUAGCGGUGAAAUGCGCAGAUAUCAGGAAGAACACCCGUGGCGAAAGCGGCUCUCUGGAACGGUACUGACGCUGAGACGCGAAAGCGUGGGGAGCGAACAGG
rnacentral:rRNA from 1 species